AUAUUUAACCUAUUUAUUAUAAAAUAUUUUGUAGAAACAUAAUAAUUUUCUUAAUCUUCGUAUUUUUAGCCAAAAAUACUUAUAUUAUGAAACGUAUGAAAGUAAUAAUUAAGUUAAAUAAAUAUAAUUGUCCACCAACUAUAUUUAUUGUAAGUAGAUCUUUCAGUGCUGUGUUUUAAUAGUACAGAUACAAAUUAAUUAGCCUUGACCCAAUCAUUUGAAAUUAAAUACUCGAAAUAAAUUCAAUGAAUAAUCUCUCUCCUAAUGGUAAGCAAAUAAAUACUCACUCGUUUCAUAUUGUAACUAGUUUUAGGGAAUUUUUUUGUUUCAAAAUAUAAGUAGUUUUCGUAUUUCUAGGUAAUUUUUACAUUUAUUGAAUACAGUGUGACCAAUCAAAUUAAAUAUAUUUAUUUUUUAUUGGUUAAAUUAUAUCUAACCUAUUUAUUAUAAAAUACUUUUUAAACACAUAAUAAUUUCUUAAUCUUCGUGCUUUUAACCAAAACUACUUAUAUUAUGAAACGGAGGGAGUAUCAUUUAACCUUGUGAGCUUUUACAUUUUGACAAAGGAAUAUAAUUUAAUUUUUGGUCAACAUCUUAAUACCAAAAUGUUUUUUUAAUAUAUAUGAAAAACCCAAUGCCUCCCUUUAAACACUCAGUAACACAUCUCAACAGCUACACAGUCAUUAGUUCAUACUUACUACACUUUCCUAACUUUAUUUGAUAAAUUUCCAAAGACUCAACCCAGAUAUGGCUUGCCUCCUCGUCUUCCAUAUCUUCACCUUCGUCGCCCACGGUAUUUAUAUUUUGUAUAUGUAAUAUAAUAAGGUCUUUUAUGUGUUUUUUUGUCUACAAUAAUGUAAUAUUAUAUUUUUGUUAAAAAUUAGGAAGGGUCUGGACCCGACUGUGGAUUUGAGGACGUACGUCUGAAACAAUCGAAGUCUGGAAUGGUUAAGAACAAACCAGUGUGGAAAGUGACACUGAACAACCCAUGUAGGUGAUUACUCACUAAUAAAGUUGUCGUGCACCGGUUUUAAAUCAGCCGUGCCUGUUGACACGUUGACAAAAACCGGGGACGUGCGUCUCCUCAGCAAAGGUAUACUUGGAGACAGUGGCGGACCCAGCAUUUAUUUUUGCCUGUGUCAUAUAUAAUUUUUUGAAAAAUUAUAACGAAAAUAUUGGAUGGAGAUUCCGGGUUAAGGUUACCAGCACAAACACUGUUUGCGCUGCUGAUUCUAUACUGUUCUAAUUCAAAAACAAAUAUAUUUGACAUUUAACCUGUAUCAGCUGACCCAUCUUUUCUUUCAGUGGAUCUGCCUCUGCAUGGAGAUUUCGUUUUCAAAUACCUAUGCAACAUUAGCUUCGAGUUCAAGGUCACUGAUAGCACGUUUUGUGCAUGAAAGCUUUCAAAUUAAUUCGAGCUAAAAAAUCAAAAAUUUAAUUCGAGCUUAGUUGAAAUGAUGAUAUUUGCUCAAAUAUGUUUCGAAAUUUGACAUCAAUAAAAAUAUAAUUGCUUUAAUAUUAAGUUUUGUUAGCUAUUUGGCACGAUUUCUUAUUUUUAUCAGAAAAAGCAGAGUCUUAACCCAUCAGACAUGUAUUUCGUGGUAGGUGAGUUUAAUUAAGUCUUAGGGGCCAAAAUAGGUUAAAGAUCCAAAUAUUGUUAAUAAAUGUAUAUUUGAAUAAUAAAAAGAAGAAUAGCCCAUGAAUAGCUUACUCCCAAAGAUUUAACUAAUAAAUAUUGAUAUAAAAAUAAAUAUUUAAAUAUUAAAUAUAUGAUACUAGGAAAGAAUAUAUUAUGUGAGUUGAUUGCAAAUAAUUUUUGAUAAAACAAAUCUCACUAUAAUGAUUUCAAUAUUAAAUAUUAAAUAUACAUAAUAAGGAAAGAAUAAUAUAGGAAGUAGAUUGCAAUAACUUUUUGAUUGACCAAUCCCACUAUUGAUAUUUAAAUCAUCUAUAAUAUUAAGGGCAUAAUUCUUAAUAGGAUUCUGUCAUUAGUUUUUCAAAUUAUUUACAAGAGAAUUUCACUCAUUUUUGAAACUUUUUAAAUGAUUUUUAUCAACAAUAUAUUCAACUAAAUUUCCUAUAUCCACGACAAUGCUUCCUUAUUCUCUCUUAUUUCUAAAAUAGAAAUCAGCCAUUUAUACUAUUAUAUUUCAAUUAUAUUUUCUAACAUUUAUAUUAUACACAAAUGCAUUAUUUAUAUCAUCGAAACAUAUUUAUUUCACAUCGGAAGUCAAAUACAUCAUUCUGCACGUAGAAGCAUCUCAAAACAACUGAAGCUCUCUUCUAAACCUGCAACAUGAUUAACUUAUGGAUGUUAUUACAUGACUUAUGUAUAACAAAGUAAUGUCUAAUACUUUUGAAACUACAAUGUAUCAAUUGUGACAUUUAAAAGAAAAAAAACGUAUAUUUUUCUAAACCCUAAAAGAAAAUGUAGACCUUAAUACGCAAACCCCAAAACCAUUUUUUGUGAAUUAUCCCCAAAUUUUUUUUUUUGUUAAUUAUCCCCAAAAACUUUUUUUUAUCAAGAUCAAUGAUUAUUAACAAUAUACGACUGAAUUAAACAAAUUACAUUGCUACACAAAUAGAUUGUUUCAGUGUUUUUAAAAAGUUGAUCUUUUCUUAUAACAUGUACAUAGAGAUGUCAGCCCAGCCCGUGGCCCGCGAGUCAAACCCAUAUAGGCCCAUGACGGGGCGGGUCUGGACAACAAAAAGUGUCCAUUAAAAUGCGGGUUUCGCGGGUUCAACCCAUGCGGUUUCGUGGGUGCGUAGCGAACCGCGUCGAGUUAGCGGGUUGUCCGCACAAAACGAGAGGACUCUUCAAUGACUUUGACUCGGUGUCUUUCAUCGUUCGAUUUGUAAUCAUCCCCCAUGGUUUUUCAGUUAUGGUCGCAGUGAUUCGGUUAACUGUUUUGCAAGCUUGGAUUUUGAUUAAUUAGCUUUUUUUUUACUUUGAUUUUCAAAAGAAGGGAAGCCCCUUGUUCUUGACGUGGUGCGAAGAGCUGAGCAACAGCUAGUCAACGAUCCGUGAGUUGUUGUCUUUGGUUAUGUCUCUUGUUGACUCUUGGUUUGAGUUACAUUUGGUUGCAGAUUGUUAGUUUUUGUCUGUUUGCUUCACAAAAUUUUCCUGAGCAAUGACACAUAUUGUUAAUCUUUUCAUUGUGUUUGUGUAUGUUUGGAGCUUGGAUUCAGAGACAAAGUUUUGAAGCUUAGACAUCACGUACGAGGGAUCACACGCUGUUCAUAAGGUAACCCGCGGGUCAACCCGCAAACAAUGUGAAUUAAGCGGGGCGGGUUUGGACAAGAGUUCUCUGACUGCAACUCGCCGCGGGUCAACCCGCACGGUCUGAUGAGAAAACGGAACCGCUGCAGGUCUGUCCAGGUGGACGCAGGUCAACCCAUCUGACAACUGUACAUAUACUACAACAAAUUUUCUCCAUCAUCUAAAUUUUUGUUUUUCUUCAUGAAUUCAAAUAUUUUAACAAUAAAAUCAAUAAUUUAUACCGUAAUCAGUUAUAGAAAUUUUCUUCAGCAGUUA